AGUAAGUGAGCAUGGCACAGACAGUUGUUUUUUUAAGAUACAUCUGAGCUAAUCCAGUGACAUCUGCAUACAUCUUACGCCUUUGGCAACAUCGUGGGUUGUAAAUAUGGGCUUACUAUAGCAUGGACUCUUCACUACGGGAAGCUGAUCAUUUUACUUGAUUAACAAACUAGUGAGAAUGAACAUCUGGUAGCAAUUAACCUUCAAACCUGCCUUCAUGCCCGUGGACCAGCAUGCAUCAGUAGAGCUGGGCUGAGCUCCAGUUCUCUAAAGCCCAUUUCUUUCAACAACAACUGUUACUUUCUACUCUUGAUUGUUAUCUGUCUGUAUCAUUUGCAAUAGCAAACUUACAUUAAGACAUUGUAUUGAAUCUGCAAAUGCAGACUGUGUCACUGUAUUCACAAAUUAGCCAUACUGCAGCUCAGAUCAAGUUAUAGAUAAACUGUCUCUUGUUUGACCUUGUUGCCAUGGAGGAUGAUUUUGCCAGGCUGGUACAAAUCAUCUGGGUCUCAACAUUUACUCUUGCCAAUUCAGAAAUGCUGUGUGUGCAUGGCACUCUGGGAGAAAUAAACAACAUCAUGGAGCCUGCAAUCUUUA